UGCCCCGUGGUGUAGUGGUAGCACAGAGGACUUUGGAUCCUUUGACCCAGGUUCGAGUCCUGGCGGGGCAGCCA
rnacentral:tRNA from 1 species